GUCCCAGUUCGGAUUGUAGUCUGCAACCCGACUACAUGAAGCUGGAAUCGCUAGUAAUCGCGGAUCAGAAUGCCGCGGUGAAUACGUUCCCGGGUCUUGUACACACCGCCCGUCACACCAUGGGAGCCGGGAAUGCCCGAAGUCGGUGACCUAACCUUUAAGGGGGGGGCCGCCGAAGGCAGGUCUGGUAACUGGGGUGAAGUCGUAACAAGGUAUC
rnacentral:rRNA from 1 species